rnacentral:lncRNA from 1 species
AUUCCAUAAUUCAUUUAAGCAGGAUAAACAGAGCUCCUGCUCUGGAAGAUCCAGCCCUGAGCAAAAGGCACUUGGAAUCGACAUGGGGGGCUCGAAUGUCCCUGUGAAACAUAAACAUAAGGAGGCAGGAGACAUGAGAUGCAGCCGGCUCUGACCCCAAAGAGCCAUGGGACCUGAGCAUCACUUGUCUAAAGCAGAGGAGGAGACUGCCCUGCUGGAGUGUGACAUUCAAGACUUGGGCCCAUGACUUGGCAGUGGCAUGUUGAGGACGUUGAACCCUGAUCUGGGCAGAACGUACUGAUUGGCCCACAAGAUUGCAGGUGAAAGAGACACAUGGAAAAUGCUAACAGAAAAUGACAAAUUGCGAGUUGGGCAUUUAUAAACCAUAAA